UCCAAAAGCUACAACUUUUAAAAAACUCUUUUUGAAUAAAAAGUUUGUUUUUUCAAGGGUCUGAAGCUAUUUAAUCUCAAUAAAUAGCUUCUAUAUAUAUAUUGAGUUUCAAUUAAGAGAAUUUCUAAAGUGAGAGGAAUAAGAUGUCUAAGAAAAAUUUGACAAAACUUAUGUUGGUAAUAAUUGAGUUGAUUAUCCUCGUGAUACUCAAUGUGCAUGCUAAUGAUUCAACCACUCCUUCUUCUGCUCCCACAACACUACUAACUGGCCUUCAUCUCUUCCAACUUGACAAAGCGGAUGUGAGUUAUAUUGAUCAUUGCAUUGAAAGCACAUUGAAGGAGUGUAACUUUUUACAUGAACCAUUUGCUACAACUUGUUUUCUUCUUAAAUGCAUUUUUAAAAGUCCAAUGCAUCCAAAAUAUUUUCCCAUCAACAUUGAUGUUAUGAUAUUAGAUUGCUAUGAGCAUUGUUUUAAGAAAUUGGAACUUCAUGGCAUACGUCAUGUACUUUGUCUAGCACGUUGCUAUGAAGAGGAAAUGAAGAAGUAUAAUUUCAAGAAUUGAUAAUCUUCGAGUUUGUUACUAAUGCAGAUCCGGAGGAUGAAGGCAUGGACCCAUAUGCCAAUUUUAAUGGUUUUUGAAACCAUUACCGAAGUAAUAUGUGCUAGCUUAGAAAUCACUAGUCAUAUUUAUGUGUGUUUUAUUUCAUCGCUUGUAAUAAUUAUAACGAUGUUAUGUUUGAUAUAUUUUAUGUUGUAUGCUUAUGUGCCGUUUGUGGCACUAAUUUUAAUGUACGUAGUGUGCAUAUGGCGUGUAAUGAUAACCUAAAAAAAUCUUAAUAAAUGCUUUGAGCUAUUCCAGUCA